rnacentral:rRNA from 1 species
UACGAAGGGGCUAGCGUUGUUCGGAAUCACUGGGCGUAAAGGCGCGUAGGCGGCUUUAUAAGUCGGGGGUGAAAGCCUGUGGCUCAACCACAGAAUUGCCUUCGAUACUGCAGAGCUUGAGACCGGAAGAGGUAAGUGGAACUGACGAGUGUAGAGGUGAAAUUCGUAGAUAUUCGCAAGAACACCAGUGGCGAAGGCGGCUUACUGGUCCGGUUCUGGACGCUGAGG